rnacentral:rRNA from 1 species
ACAGGUGGUGCAUGGUUGUCGUCAGCUCGUGUCGUGAGAUGUUGGGUUAAGUCCCGCAACGAGCGCAACCCUUGAUUUUAGUUGCCAGCAUUUAGUUGGGCACUCUAAAGUGACUGCCGGUGCAAGCCGGAGGAAGGUGGGGAUGACGUCAAAUCAUCAUGCCCCUUAUGACCUGGGCUACACACGUGCUACAAUGGAUAGUACAAAGGGUCGCGAAGCCGCGAGGUGGAGCUAAUCCCAUAAAACUAUUCUCAGUUCGGAUUGUAGGCUGCAACUCGCCUACAUGAAGCCGGAAUCGCUAGUAAUCGUGGAUCAGCAUGCCACGGUGAAUACGUUCCCGGGCCUUGUACACACCGCCCGUCACACCACGAGAGUUUG